rnacentral:lncRNA from 1 species
CAGGUGUGAGCCACUGCACCCGGCCUGGAACUCUUCCAUGAAGGGGAAGAAAAAGAUAAAACCAAACACAGCCCAGAAAUUCUGGCAUACAAAUCAGAAAAGAACUACUUCUUAGCCACCUGUGCCAGACAGAGUCUCACUCUGUUGCCCAGGCUGAAGUGCAAUGGUUUGAUCUCGGCUGACCACAACCCCCAUCUCCUGGAUUCAAGCAAUUCUCCUGCCUCAGCCUCCCGAGUAGCUGGGAUUAGAGGCAUGUGCCAC